GAAUUGGUGCCAGUUCCUGGGGUUAGGCCGAGGGUGUAGGCCUGUGAGCUGUGGUGCCAGCUCCUGGAGCAAGUGGGGGUCCUUGUGUGAUUAGCUGGGGGUGACCACAGCGCUCUGGAUCUAGGAAGGAUCCUACAGACAUUGUGCUCAGAGUGCUACUGGGGGGACUGGUAAUUUGAAUGAGACACGACCUGCCCUUUUAGCCACAUGUUCCAUCCUCACUGCUGCACAGAAUUUCAAUAGUUCUGUAUACGAUCAUGAGUGAUACUCAUGUUUGUCUUCAGCAGCCUACCAAAAAUGUGAGAGGUGGCUCACAUACAUCAAAAGCUGUGUUAUAAUAAAAGUACUUUCUAGAAUAUCUGUUGAAAGAAACAAUUCUCAGGUCACUUCAAUAACAUCAGUGAUGGGAGAAAAUGGAAUAAAACGCCCCUCUUGUCGUCCAACAGGAUGGCUGACCUCAUCAGGACGGCUUUAAACCAGGAAUGAUGAGGGAGGGAGAGGCUAUCCAGCAGCUCUGUGAGGCAGCAAUAGACAGUGUUGCUGAGCAAAAAUCAAGGGGUGGUGUGACUGAAAGAUCAAAAAAAUCAACAAAAUGGGGCUUAAGCAGAGUCACCGCCAGCACUUGAUUGUAAGCAAGGAAGUGCCUAAGAGACACCAUUGUGGAGAAAUCCCUCAAAUCCUUUCAAGGAACCCACUUUGCUGGGGUGCCUCUCUGAAGUGCCUGUACACUAACGCACAUGGUGCCUUGGCUACAGAUCUCGGUGUGUGUUCUGCUUAAGGAGCAGGAUAUCUGGCAGUACGUUCCCAGAGGAUUUAAUUGAGAAAUCACACUGUGACAUACAGUUUUUGGAAAAGCCUACAGC